GGCACGAGAGAGAGAGAGAGAGAGAACGAAGCUCUCGGACCCAAAGCAGGUCGCCAACCGACCCGAUGGUUGUUUCUCUGUCGUCCGGCCACCGAUCGACGACGUAGCGGCACCAAUAGCUUCCUCUCAUCAUCGCCGACACGAAGGUGGUGGUAGCUCAUUCAAUCGACGGCUGAGAGAGGAGAUUCAACUAGCGGUAGUUUUACUUUCUUGACGGGUUUUCUGUGAUUUCCGGCAACUCCGGCGGCUAUUCGAGCUGCAUGUGAUUUGAAAGCUGGAGGUGGGCGAGGACCUUGCAGUUGACUCUUUGUAGAAAAAUGGUCUGAGCACUGGGCUUGAUUGCCUUGGAGUAUACUUCGAUUUGAAAAUAGUCUUUGGCCAAGUGAUGACGGUGUUGGCAUCAACAUGCUUAAUUAAGAUGAAAGGGACUCCAGUUACCCGAGGGGCAGAAGGCUCGUGGUUUUGGGAGUUCGCGAGGAAAGCCACGGAUUCCAGUUAUCCGAUAAAAAUGUAACCGAUGUUAUGAGAUAGUGAUGGCUUGAGAGUGAGAGGAGCAUAGCGACUACCUUGGGUUCAAUCCCCUAAACCUCCGGAGGGGCCUCUAUGGACGGAAGAGUGUCUUACGUUCCUUGUGGAGUGGCACUGCUUCUAGGCGAUAAGGCAUUUGUGGACACUCGCUACACUUACCUGUUGUACACGCAUAUAGUGAGGAAAGUUGAUAGUGGGUCUAAAAAGGACCGGCCAUCAGUUUGUGGAUGCAGGUACUGUGCACUGGGACGGAUAGUGACGAGGAGUUGGAUGUGCAUAUUUAUGAUUGGUAACUUGGUUUCUAUGGCCUUUAUUUUUAUAUUUGAGUUUCAUGUACCAAAUUCUAUUUUGUUGGUUUUGUUCUGUUCUGUUCUGCUUCGUAAUUUUAUUCCUUAAGUUUAUUAAUUAUGUCAUUCCGUAAAUCAAGUUUUAGGAGAAGGGAAAAGCCCAAUCCUGUUAUGAGUUUGUUUUAUGAUACUCUAAUUGAUAAUUUGUAUUCCUUUGAGUUCAUGAUUUCAUAAUCAUUCCUUGUAUCAGUAUUUUGGUGAAUUAAAGUACUUUGAGAAAAAUUAAGUUUUACACCUCAAAAUGUUUUGACGCUUUUGUUGUGUUUUUCUUAAAUGUUUUCUUACAUUAAUUGCUUUGCGUUUUUUCUUUUGACACGCGGCAUUGUGACGUGCCUAAACUGAGGAGGUGCAGUUUAGGGCGUUAUAUUGGUGUCUUUUGGCGAUGUGAUCUUAUGGGUCACUGGCGUCGUUUUGAAGACCAGGACUUGUUCGUUGGUCGUGAAAUCAUGUGUUUUUGAAUUCCGGAAUGAUUUGUCAUCGUUUGCUUCAUAUCAUGUCUUGACAUCUGGAUCUGCUAUUACAUGCUUUGGGGAAUAUACUAUAUGAUUCGUACCGAGUGUUCAGGUUGCAACUUGGAGACAACCGUUUCCUUGGGCACUAUAUCGAGAUUUUGUGCUUGGGUUGUUAGGGAGGCAGUACCUGAUGGUGGAAGGCCAUGUACGACCGCCGGAAAGGUGGUGAUUGACAUUACGGCCGGCUUGGAUGGGUGUGAUGGGUUUGGGCUUUUGGGCAACGGGUUGUUUGGGUCCCUAGCUUAUGCAAAUUUGUAUGAAGUCUAGUGUGUUGGUCAAUUUCCUUGCCUUUAGGGUAAGCGUGAUUUGAACAUCCUUAUAAUCUUAAUUUGAAGCUGUUAACUGAUUUGAUGUGUGGACCGGUACACAAUUUAAAUCUUAAUUAAGCUUCUCAAAGCAGAUGUGGAGAAAAAGAGGCGUGUUGUAAGUUCCCUGUGUUUCCUUUUUGGUUGUCCAUAUUUUUGUACCGUAUUUUUUUUGGAGUUCGAGUAAUAAUGGUUUUUUGAGCUU